rnacentral:miRNA from 1 species
ACUUGGAUAAGGCACUCUUAUUU